rnacentral:lncRNA from 10 species
AUCUUCCCUGUCUUGUUCCUGGGCGCAGAGGGCUCCUCCGGCGCCGCCGAGCUGCGCCCGCUGCCUUCACACCCCGGACAUCCGCGCCACACGGACCCAGACCCCAGGAGGCCUCACCCCACAGCAAGAGAAAGACCACGAGCAUGGACAUGAUGGUCGCGCUCACUCCGGUGCAGUGAGUGUCUGGGUGAUGGAUCCUAGAACCUGUUCUAGAAGGAGACGCUGAGUUCUCCCCACUCUACCUGGAGCUGCUGAGGUCAAGUGGAGAGUGCCGGGGCUGAAGCCCAGCGAGCCCCUCCCUGUCACACCACACUGCACAUGUGACACCAAAGGUGGGGUUCACCUCUUUUCAGACUUUCUGCGGUUGCCCUCACAUGGGCUGUCUGGAGGUGCACCCUCACUCUUCCUGAGGACUGUGGUUCCUUCUCCAUCACUGGUUCAUUCUGCAUGGUGUGACCCACCACGGCUCUGGAGUCGGAUUUCCACCCAGGUCAUUCAGCUGAGACCUGCGCUUCCCAGGCCUACCCGUGACAUGUGCUCAGUUACCUGAGCUGCUGGUGGUCACUCAUGUGGCUAUAGCCUGCUGCCUGGAGGCCAGGCCUCCCGCUUCCCCUGCCUCCCCCUCUCCUCACCACAGCCUGUUGGGAUGGAACAGGACAGGGGUGAGACCGUGGUGCUUUCACACUCAGCCUCCAUGGACAUCCUGUCAUUCCCACCCGGGGAGGUCUGGUCCCCACCCUGGGUGUCCCAGCCUAGCUCCGCUACGAGUGUGAGGGCCCAGGGCAACCGCCUAGCCCUCAUCUGCCCCCUGCACUGCAUCCUCCCCACUCAUUCAUUCCACAGGCAUUUAUUGAGCAUCUACUGUGUGCCAGAUGCAAAGAAGACAGUGGGAUAACUGGGCAAGGAGCAUUCCAGGCAGAGGGAACAGCCAGUGCAAACAUGGGAGAUGCGGGUGCAGUGAGAAGGAGCAGAGGAGA